rnacentral:lncRNA from 1 species
ACUUAUCAUUAUUAAGCAUUUUCUCAGCCAAAUCAUGGCCAUAUCACAAAAUUAUUUACACAAAAUAGGUGUAUUGCUAUACAUGCCAUACUUAAGUUUUACAAGCCGUUUACCAAAAAGAGUCCUUCGGAUAGUGUGAUCGAACCUUCGACCGGUCCCAAUUCCUAAGCCGGCUUGUUCAAAACUACAGUGAAUGAAAAGGAGGGAGUAAGCAUAAAUGCUUAGUAAGUCAUAUGCAAAUAACAAGUAACAUAACAAUACAAUUAUACCAAACAACCUUAGCAUGGUAUCACCAAAACAUAUAUCACAUUUCUAAACAUCAUUAAUCAUCUUACCACCUUAUCGUUGUUGUAUCUAUUUUCAACCCGAAGGUUAAGUACAUACCUGUCCAAAGUGUCAAUUUCACAAUACUUACCAAUACAUCACCUGCAUCUUAAGUGUUCUUCCAUUUCACUAGAAAUUUUACCCGUUGAACACAUCGGAAUAUAACUCGGAUACAUGGAUAAUUUGCACAUAAGUGCCACAUUUGUAGCCAACCUACCAUGUAACCCGCCCAUAAGUGAACUCGGACUCAACUCAACGAGCUCGGGGGUUCGCAUCCAUAAGUGAACUCGGACUCAACUCAACGAGUUCUGAUGCCUAGUUACAUCUCACGAACUCGGACUCAACUCAACGAGUUCGGACAUUUCACAUCCAUAAGUGAACUCGGACUCAACUCAAUGAGUUCGGAUGUUCAACCGUCCUAGUGACAUGUCACUUGUAUCCUAAUCUAUUCCUAAGGUUCAAACGGGAUUUUCCUCGAACACAUCUCCUUGCCAUCUUCCGUAAAAUACCGAAACUAAUACUCGGUAGCACUUUAUAUUUAACAAAUAAUACACUUAAUUUGCAUUUUAUUCGAAAAUAACCACAAAGCAUAUAUUUCAUGAUAAAAAUCAGCAUAUCAUAUAUUUAACAUUAAUAGCUUAAAAAUAACAAUUAUGCUACCUUAUUUACACAUGAACUUACCUCGGUACAAAAUUUUUAACAAUCGAGCCUAUUCCUCGUAAACUUUGUUUUUUCCUCGAUCACGACUUGAAUCUCGUUUCUCUUGAUCUAUAAUACCAAAUUAAUCUUAUUUAAUACAUACAUUCAUUAAAACAGUACUUAAUACGAACUUUGGAAAAAUUACCAUUUUGCCCCUAAACUUUUGCAUAAUUACACUUUUGCCCCUAGGCUCGGGAAUUAAACUUCAUCCCUUAUUAUUAUGUUUUAUGACAUUCUGAUCAUUUUUCCCUUCUAUGGCAACAUCAAAUUCUCACUCUAACAUGUAUUUAUGACUACUAAAUAUUUUUACCGAUUAAGCCUUUUUACUCGUUUUUACUCAAAACCGAGUAGCAAAAGUUGUCUAACAAAAUUUAAAACCUCAUAUUCUGUCAUAAAACACAACAAUACAAUUAUACCAAACAACCUUAGCAUGGUAUCACCAAAACAUAUAUCACAUUUCUAAACAUCAUUAAUCAUCUUACCACCUUAUCGUUGUUGUAUCUAUCUUCAACCCGAAGGUUAAGUACAUACCUGUCCAAAGUGUCAAUUUCACAAUACUUACCAAUACAUCACCUGCAUCUUAAGUGUUCUUCCAUUUCACUAGAAAUUUUACCCGUUGAACACAUCGGAAUAUAACUCGGAUACAUGGAUAAUUUGCACAUAAGUGCCACAUUUGUAGCCAAGCUACCAUGUAACCCGCCCAUAAGUGAACUCGGACUCAACUCAACGAGCUCGGGGGUUCGCAUCCAUAAGUGAACUCGGACUCAACUCAACGAGUUCUGAUGCCUAGUUACAUCUCACGAACUCGGACUCAACUCAACGAGUUCGGACAUUUCACAUCCAUAAGUGAACUCGGACUCAACUCAAUGAGUUCGGAUGUUCAACCGUCCUAGUGACAUGUCACUUGUAUCCUAAUCUAUUCCUAAGGUUCAAACGGGAUUUUCCUCGAACACAUCUCCUUGCCAUCUUCCGUAAAAUACCGAAACCAAUACUCGGUAGCACUUUAUAUUUAACAAAUAAUACACUUAAUUUGCAUUUUAUUCGAAAAUAACCACAAAGCAUAUAUUUCAUGAUAAAAAUCAGCAUAUCAUAUAUUUAACAUUAAUAACUUAAAAAUAACAAUUAUGCUACCUUAUUUACACAUGAACUUACCUCGGUACAAAAUUUUUAACAAUCGAGCCUAUUCCUCGUAAACUUUAUUUUUUCCUCGAUCACGACUUGAAUCUCGUUUCUCUUGAUCUAUAAUACCAAAUUAAUCUUAUUUAAUACAUACAUUCAUUAAAACAGUACUUAAUACGAACUUUGGAAAAAUUACCAUUUUGCCCCUAAACUUUUGCAUAAUUACACUUUUGCCCCUAGGCUCGGGAAUUAAACUUCAUCCCUUAUUAUUAUGUUUUAUGACAUUCUGAUCAUUUUUCCCUUCUAUGGCAACAUCAAAUUCUCACUCUAACAUGUAUUUAUGACUACUAAAUAUUUUUACCGAUUAAGCCUUUUUACUCGUUUUUACUCAAAACCGAGUAGCAAAAGUUGUCUAACAAAAUUUAAAACCUCAUAUUCUGUCAUAAAACACCAAAAUACACAAAUUUCACCUAUGGGUAUUUUUCCAAAUAUGAACCAUAGGUUGAAUUAUUGUUAACAUAAGCCAAAUCGAGCUACCGGGAUUUCAAAAACAUAAAAAUCAUUAAAAACGGGGUUUGAAAUCACUUACUAUGAAAUUUGAAAGUUGAAGAAACCCCAGCUAUGGAGGAGAGAAAAAAUCAGCAGAACAAUAUGGAGAAG